AGUCAAUGAGAGUUAGUGUGUGACAUGACUGGAACACAGUAGGUGUCCAAUAGGUGUUUAUUUCCCUUUUCUAUCCUAGAAGUUUUCACAUACAUUUUGACAUUUGUUACCUUUGGAGUGAGAAAAUGCACCCACUUUUUCAGAAAACAAUGGGACAUUUUCUAAACUUUUCCCUCCACCUUAAUGAAUUCACCUGUUUUAAAACUUUUUCUAGUAUUUCACACAGACCACAAUCAAAAGCUUCCUUUAAAAAUAAAAAUUCAAAGAAUAGCGUAUUCAUUCUAUUUUCCUGGUCUCCAUGGCCAGUUGUGUCUUCCAGAAAUUCCAAAAAGUUAGUGAUGCUUGACGUUCCUCCUCUUUUUCCCCCUUUUCUUUUUGUAAAGCAUGCCAGCAAUCUUUAAGCAUGCUGUGACUUUCUAAAUGCCAUCCAUGUAAGCUUCCGAAACAACUAAGAUUUAACCCACAGACACAUAUUUGAUCUGUACUUUCCAGAGAGUCCUC
rnacentral:lncRNA from 1 species